UACGUAGGGUGCAAGCGUUAAUCGGAAUUACUGGGCGUAAAGCGUACGCAGGCGGUUUUGUAAGUCUGUUGUGAAAUCCCCGGGCUCAACCUGGGAAUGGCAAUGGAGACUGCAAGGCUAGAGUUUGGCAGAGGGGGGGUAGAAUUCCACGUGUAGCAGUGGAAAUGCGUAGAUAUGUGGAGGAACACCGAUGGCGAAGGCAGCCCCCCUGGGUCAAAACUGACGCUCAUGCACGAAAGCGUGGGGGAGCAAACAG
rnacentral:rRNA from 1 species